AUUGAACGCUGGCGGCAGGCCUAACACAUGCAAGUCGAACGGUAACAGGAAGAAGCUUGCUUCUUUGCUGACGAGUGGCGGACGGGUGAGUAAUGUCUGGGAAACUGCCUGAUGGAGGGGGAUAACUACUGGAAACGGUAGCUAAUACCGCAUAACGUCGCAAGACCAAAGAGGGGGACCUUCGGGCCUCUUGCCAUCGGAUGUGCCCAGAUGGGAUUAGCUAGUAGGUGGGGUAACGGCUCACCUAGGCGACGAUCCCUAGCUGGUCUGAGAGGAUGACCAGCCACACUGGAACUGAGACACGGUCCAGACUCCUACGGGAGGCAGCAGUGGGGAAUAUUGCACAAUGGGCGCAAGCCUGAUGCAGCCAUGCCGCGUGUAUGAAGAAGGCCUUCGGGUUGUAAAGUACUUUCAGCGGGGAGGAAGGGAGUAAAGUUAAUACCUUUACUCAUUGACGUUACCCGCAGAAGAGGCACCGGCUAACUCCGUG
rnacentral:rRNA from 1 species